ACGAAAUUCAUUGAAUGUAUAAUAAAUGUAUUAACUUCAUUUUUCAAAUGAACAAAUUCAGUGUGUGAGAAAUCCGAAGGAUACAAUUUAGCAAACUUAAUCAAUUUUUUCUUGUCAUAAAUUAUUCUUGGACGUCUUUAACAAGUACCGACUGCAAUUGAUGAACAAUAAAACAAUGAAUGUAGUGUGAGCAGAAGGAUAUUUUCUUACAAGAUUAGUGUCUUCACCGAUAUUAAUAGGGCAAGUCAUAUUAACCCAAAAAUUAUUCUAAAGCUAACUUGAGAUUGAUUGAUUUAGUGUCUUUGUCUCUAACUUCUGCAACCCUAAUAAAUCUUUCGACAAUAUAACCUUCAACGUUAAAAUAUAGCACAACAACCGUUAUUUGUUCUCUAGCUAGUUGAAACAUCUCGUGAUUCAUCAACCAAAAUAGUGAAUACAUCAUCUCCAAAAUCACAAAUGAUUUUCUCUGUGGUAAGACUAGAAAAUGCAUAUAUGAUUUGCUUCUGAAUGUAAUGACUUAUUAACAUUAGAUCCUUUGGGGGGGGGCAUUCUUCAAUGUAACAUAGCGAAUUUCUUCAUUUUGGUCUGCAAGAAAUUGUAACAAGUCUAGAAAAUUACCACUAUUAUCAGAAUUCUCACUUUCAUUGUACAUGGCCACGAAAAGCUUGACCUCGAUAUAUUAUAUGACAAAUAGUAUCAAUAGUGGUUGCAUGUUAGGCGGAUUCGAUAUUCUUUUGAUUGUUUGCGAAUAAGUGUAUCAAAAUGUUUCUUUUUAUUCACUAAAUUCUUACAUUUUAAUUGAGAAAAAUUGUCACAACUUAAAGAAUUCCCCAAAUGCUUAGGAAAUUUGUCUUUAGGUAAAUGCAUCAUCUGUUUUGCUUUGAGGAAAAAGAUAACAUGGCAAACAAAAUGCUGAAUUUUCAAAAAUACUAUAUUCCAACCAUGUGAAUUCAUCAAACCAUGCUCUUUUAAAACCACGUUUAAUGCUAGACGACCAUCUCCUACCCAUGGAAAUACAUGAUAACUAGGUUGGCAAAUUGGCAUGGUCCUCGUUGAAGAUACAAUCGACGAAUUAUGUCUCGAUCAUUGACAUCAUACAUAGCAAUUGGUUUUCUUUUACUAGGAUCUACUAUCAAGCUAGUCACUCAUUUGAAUGAAUGGAAUUGCAGAAAUUGUUGGAUGGAAUAUUGGAGAAUUUGCAGAAUAGGGGUAACAUCCGCUACCUCUCGUUACCAUAUACAUCGAUCCCCUGAAAUUAAGCAAUUCAAGUAUAUCCGUAUUAUCCGGGGUGGGAAUUUUAAUCCCCAUCCCCGUAACUGAAAAU
rnacentral:lncRNA from 1 species